rnacentral:antisense_RNA from 1 species
GGGUGCUUGAGGCUUUCUGCCUUAAGCAUUAGCCGAUGGCAGAAAGAGAAAAGCCCCGGAAACAUUAUGCGUCUUGCUGGACGCUUAACAUUAACCGAGGCCACUUCUAAUGCUGAACACAUUCAGAAUAGCCUCUUACUGGCCUCCGGGUCAAGGAGAAGCAGGCUAUG